UCCAACUGAUUUCAGCCGGCUUUUCUUGAUCUCACAAGCAGAGAGAGUUUCAGUGUUUCAGCGAGUUGGUUUUUUUCUUAUCUGCUACUCUGCAAACACAAGAAUUUCUGUUAGCUACUAGUUUCUUACUCUUUGGAGCGCCGUUUCAGUUUCAGUUUUUCACCAAGUUGUUUCUUAUCCGCUACCCUUCCACAUGCUUAACAGGAUUCCAUGCAUGCACUUAUUUUGAUGAAACAGCCAAAAACAUUCUGUGAGGAAAUAAUUGUCCUCAGGAAAGGGAAUAAUGGUUGCCUCGGCAUGGGGUGGAGGCCCCUGAGUGUACUCUGCCAUGAGACCCCUUCCUUCCCACUCAGGAUGUAUUUCGAAUGCAGGAGCACCCAGGGAGCAAGAGAAGCCCUGCGACAGCAGCAAGGGACACUGUGGGGCUGCAGGGUAAGUAACCCUCGUGCUCCCUCACUCUUCAAAUGAGAGCCGGGGUCCUAGAAUUGGA
rnacentral:lncRNA from 1 species